rnacentral:rRNA from 1 species
UACGUAGGGUGCAAGCGUUAUUCGGAAUUACUGGGCGUAAAGCGUGCGCAGGCGGUUUUGUAAGUCAGGUGUGAAAUCCCCGGGCUCAACCUGGGAAUGGCAUUUGGGACUGCAAGGCUGGAGUACGGCAGAGGAGACUGGAAUUCCUGGUGUAGCAGUGAAAUGCGUAGAGAUCAGGAGGAAUACCGAGGGCGAAGGCAGGUCUCUGGGCUGAUACUGACGCUCAUGCACGAAAGCGUGGGGAGCAAACAGG